AUGGCAAAGCAAGGUGUAGACUUCGGAGUGGCGCUGGUCCUUGUUGCCCUCGCAGCAUUUCCAGCAGUGCACUCCAUCGGCGUCUGCAACGGCGUGCUCGGCAGCGACCUGCCGGCGCCGAGCGACGUCGUGAAGCUCUACCAAUCCAAGGGCAUCAACGCCAUGCGGAUCUACGAGCCGGAGGGCAACGUCCUCAAGGCGCUCAGUGGCACGGGCAUCGCCGUCCUCAUGGACGUCGGCAAGGCGCUACCCAGCCUCGCCUCCAGCAGCUCCGCUGCGGCCGCCUGGGUAAAGGCCAACGUCUCCUCCUUCCCGGGCGUCUCCUUCCGCUACAUCGCCGUCGGCAACGAGGUCAUCGACAGCGCCGGCCAGAAGACCAUCCUCCCGGCCAUGAGGAACGUACAACGGGCGAUCGUGGCCGCCGGCCUCGGCGGCAGCGUCAAGGUGUCGACUUCCGUGCGGUUCGACGUGGUCAAGGACACUUCUCCGCCCUCCAACGGUGUGUUCGCGGACACAUCAUUCAUGGGGCCCAUCCUUGAGUUCCUGGCGAGCACCGGCGCACCGCUGCUGGUCAACGUCUACCCCUACUUCGCCUACGAGAAGGACCCGAAGAACAUCCAGCUCAACUUCGCUACUUUCGUGCCAGGCAGCACCACCGUGAACGACAAGGGGCUGACAUACACGAACCUCUUCGACGCCAUGGUCGACUCCAUCUACGCCGCGCUGGAGAAAGCCGGCAAGCCCGGGGUUAAGGUGGUCAUAUCCGAGAGCGGGUGGCCGUCGGACGAAGGUUUCGGGGCGACGGCGCAGAACGCGCGGACGUAUAACCAGGGGUUGAUCAACCACGUCGGCAACGGCACGCCCAAACGGCCCGGGCCGUUGGAGACGUACAUUUUCGCCAUGUUCAACGAGAACCUGAAGGACGGGGAGAAGAGCGAGAAGCAUUUUGGGCUGUUCAAUCCGGACACCUCGCCGGCCUAUUCCAUUACUUUCUGA
rnacentral:rRNA from 1 species